CCUGUACAUUGUAUAAAAAUACAGUGUAAACACACUGCAGAGAUAAAGGGUUAACUCUGGAAUGCUGCUGUGUUAUAAAUAGAACUCUCAACCAAUGAAAAUAAAGAUAUGUAGUACAGCCAAAACACACAAAGUAAUCCCAACAGUCCUGUUUCAUUUCAAAGGCCUUUUAAAUAAUUAAAAAUAGACAAAUGAAACAUAUUCUCUCUUAAGUAGAUAUAAGUAUUUGUUAAAACAUUCUAGUGGAGAUUCCUUCAACAAUAGAUAGCAAAAUAGAAAGCUGCUCAAGAAUAUCAAAAGUUUAAAAGUAAGCAGGAACUUCAUUGUUGGAGAUAUUCCUUUACACAUGCAGUUGGAAUUUAAACAGUUUAUGUUGCUAAAAUAACUUUUAAAUGGACACUAGAUAAAGUAACAGGUAUAUGCAGUACCUGACAUAUGCCAAAACACACAUGGAUAAAAUUAUGAGGCCUGAGACAUUUUCAGGCUUUAGUGAUUUACACACUGCAGAAUGAAUGGUGCUCACAGAGAAACCCUAUUGAUGUGUAAACUUUUUGAUGGUAUACACCUCAUGGACUUGAUGGCAAAUGGUGGAAAACAGUGGCAUUCUCCAUGCUGGUUGGUGGAGAUAUAUCUAUGGCAAACAGUGGCAUUUAGAGAAAAACAGUUGCAUAUUUUACACUGAUUACCACAACAGUUAUGGUAGUCUGUGUUCAGACCUUAUGUUUUGUUCACAGGAGAUAACUCCUGAGGCAAUACAAAUUUUGUAUCAUUAUGUCCCUUUUAUUCUCAAAACAUACCGUCUGUGCAAAUCUGGUUUGAGCAUCUCCUGAAUCCUGGAGAUCGACCUUUAUCUAAGGUCAAGCUAUUAUAGCUGAAAAUGAUCAUGUUACAUGACCUGGUGGUUCUGGGAUAUUUAUUGCCAUUCACACAUGUUUAUAAAGGACCCAUUGACCUGUAGAUUACAGGGAGCACUUUGGUAAAACUUAUUGAACUAGAAAGAAUACGUAAUGAAUAACUGAUAUAUAGUGGAUUAAUGCUGUUGUUUAACUUUUUAUAAAUAAUGUAUUCUGUGUUUUAAUUUGAAUGAUUUUUAAAAAAAAGAUGUUGCACAGAUGAAAAUGCUUCUAUAUAAUAUUUCAUGUCUUAAUUGCUAAAAUAAAGGAAAUGCUGAUUGUAAUCUACAAUGGAUAAGAAUACCCGGCAAUAUGAGUUUUAAGAACAGAACUAACACCUUCCUACAAAACAGAAUUCAUGUAUAAUGUGGGAAGAAGUGAAACUGCUCCCAAGGGACAAAAGAAAACUGACAACAGUUGGCAACCAAAACAAUGAUUUAGGUGUUUUAUGAAACAACUG